CCUACGGGAGGCAGCAGUGGGGAAUAUUGCACAAUGGGGGAAACCCUGAUGCAGCGACGCCGCGUGAGUGAAGAAGUUUUUCGUUUUGUAAAGCUCUAUCAGCAGGGAAGAUAAUGACGGUAUCUGACUAAGAAGCACCGGCUAACUACGUGCCAGCAGCCGCGGUAAUACGUAGGGUGCAAGCGUUAUACGGAAUUACUGGGCGUAAAGGGAGCGUAGGCGGGAGUGCAAGUCUGAUGUGAAAGGCUGUGGCUCAACCACCGAACUGCUUUUGAAACUGUUAGGCUAGAGUGUGGGAGAGGUAAGUGGAAUUCCUGGUGUAGCGGUGAAAUGCGUAGAUAGUAAGAGGAACACCAGUGGCGAAGGCGACUUACUGGACUGUAACUGACGUUGAGGCUCGAAAGCGUGGGGAGCAAACAGGAUUAGAUACCCUUGUAGUC
rnacentral:rRNA from 1 species